rnacentral:lncRNA from 1 species
GGGAGCAGGAUGAAACAGAAAUCACACACAGAAAUUAUACGUAAUUAUUAUGUAAAAUUAGUCUACUUUUUUUUCUCCACAUUUUCCACUGAUGUUAAAAUCUUAAUAAUACAAUGCUAAAUAUAUCAGUAACAGAUCAUUAACAACUCUAAAUGUAGAAACAACAUCAAAGAUGAUUCCUCUUUUUUUUCCUCUUUAGUAAACUCUCCAGUUGAUAAAUCAGAGUUGAAAUAAUUGAAAUUAAGACCAGUUUUGUUUAUAAAGAUUGCUAACCAUUGUAAAUAUCUAUAGAGUUAAGACCCAUUAUAAAAGAAUUAGAGACCAUAGAUCUACCUAGUAUCUUUCAUUGUGCAGAAGGAUUUAUUUUCCUACU